GAUAGAUGAUACAAGCAUUAUCCGGAAUGAUUGGGCAUAAAGUGUCUGUAGGUGGCUUUUCAAGUCUGCCGUCAAAUCCUAGGGCUCAACCUUGGACAGGCGGUGGAAACUUCCAAGCUGGAGUAUGGUAGGGGCAGAGGGAAUUUUUGGUGGAGCAGUGAAAUGCAUUGAGAUCGGAAAGAACACCAACGGCGAAAGCACUCUGCUUGGCCGACACUGACAUUGAGAGACGAAAGCUAGGGGAGCAAAUGGG
rnacentral:rRNA from 1 species